rnacentral:tRNA from 1 species
GAAUAAGAAGCAAAAAAAUAUUGCAGCUAAUUUCGACCUAGCCCUUGAUUUUAAAAUCCUUAUUUA